rnacentral:rRNA from 1 species
AGAGUUUGAUCCUGGCUCAGGACGAACGCUGGCGGCGUGCUUAACACAUGCAAGUCGAGCGGAAAGGCCCUUCGGGGUACUCGAGCGGCGAACGGGUGAGUAACACGUGAGCAACCUGCCCUAGGCUUUGGGAUAACCCUCGGAAACGGGGGCUAAUACCGAAUAUGACUGCUGGCCGCAUGGCUGGUGGUGUAAAGUUUUUCGGCCUAGGAUGGGCUCGCGGCCUAUCAGCUUGUUGGUGGGGUAAUGGCCUACCAAGGCGACGACGGGUAGCCGGCCUGAGAGGGCGACCGGCCACACUGGGACUGAGACACGGCCCAGACUCCUACGGGAGGCAGCAGUGGGGAAUAUUGCACAAUGGGCGGAAGCCUGAUGCAGCGACGCCGCGUGAGGGAUGACGGCCUUCGGGUUGUAAACCUCUUUCAGCAGGGACGAAGCGUAAGUGACGGUACCUGCAGAAGAAGCACCGGCCAACUACGUGCCAGCAGCCGCGGUAAUAC